rnacentral:lncRNA from 1 species
GGACAGCCUGAAAGGACCCAGGUCGCAAGGAGCUGGCACCCUGGGAUCGAGGGAGUGAGAAUCGCUUGAUGUCACCUCACCUGGCACAGGGGCCAGCGCGGGUGACGGGGAGGGACCCUGAGGUGCGUCGUGGUCCUAGACUACCUGUCUACGGUGUCUCAGAGGGAAGCAGUUGGUCCGGCGGGGAGGGGACGCGGCGCCAGCAGCAGCUGCUCACGGAAGGGCUGGAAGGGGCCGCAGGCCGGACCUAGAGCAGCCACCAGAAUCGGAAAACAAGGGUGCUCUGCCCUGGAGCCUCCAGAGCCCAGCCCUGCACACACCUUGGUUUCAGGCCAGGAGACCGCCUGGGGCCUCGGAACGCCAGGGCUGCAGGAUGAAUCGGUGUUGUUUUAAGCCACUGGGCGCGUGCUCACUGUGUCAGCGGUGAUGGAAUACCAGGAAGCAUCAGCUGGAAGGUGGAGUGGGUGGCCGGCAGGACCUCCAGGCCUGGCCCAGAGCACCGACCCUCCUUCUGGCCAUAGGGAGCCAAGUAGGCCCGGGGCUCAGCUCUUCCCGGCAUCGCUGGGGUGGAGUCUCGGGGUGAGGGUGGGGCUUUGAUGGGGAGGAGGGCCUGGCGUGGUUAUCACCCCCAAUCCCACUUUUCCAACCCAGCCUCCGCCUCAAGCCCCAGUCAGGGGAACAGGGGCCAUGGCAGGAGCUUAAGGUCCAAGGGGCCCAGCGAGCUGUCCAUUAGUGCCAGCUGCGGGGAGACCGCCCAGGCAGCCGGACCCUUGACCUUCUCUGCUGGCAUAAUCCUGGAGAGCUUCUCGGCCUGACCAGAGGCAAGGAGGAAGCCUCGGUCCUGGACAGGGUUCUCGUACAGCGGAGAAGCCAGAGCAGACAGGUGUCUGGGGAGAUGACAAAGGAGACCUGUGGUGGGAGACUGCUGCUACGGCACCAGUCCCAGCAGUCAACGAUGGGGCCCAACAAGGCACAGGCCCCGCCGCGUGGGAGAGUCAAGAGACCACAGCAUUUGGGGCUGUCGUCGCCUCUGGUCAGCCGCCGCCACCGCCUGUGUCACUGGACAGCUGGGUUUAAGCACAGGGGAACCACAGCUCGGAAUCUCAGCACGGGUCUCAGCAGGCGAACGGUAGAAAGGGCUCUGGUUGGUGGAGGUCCCGUCAUGGCUCAGUGGUUAACAAACACGACUAGCAUCCGGGAGGGCGAGGGUUUGAUCCCCGGCUUCGCUCAGUGGGUUAAGGAUCUGGUGUUGCCGUGAGCUGUGGUGUAGGUUGCAGACGUAGCUCGGAUCCCAUGUUCCUGUGGCUGUGGUGGAGGCCAGCAGCUACAGCUCCGACUCAGCCCCAGGCCUGGGAACCUCCAUGUGCCACGGGUACAGCCCUAAAGAAAACAAAAGAAAAACAAAAAAAAAAAAAAAAAGAGAGAGAAGACAGGGCUGCGGUUCUGCGGGUGUUGGGUGAGGGCUCUGCUUUGGGUUGGGCGUCUGUCGUUCCCCUGGGGCUGCUGUAAUGAAGGACCCCUAAUGGGUGGUUUAAAACAACGCUGCCUCCUCCAGCUCAGGAGAGGAGAGUCUGCUCCUGGCCUUUCUCCCGGCUCCCGGCGAAGCCGGCUGCCCCCGCCGGCCCUCAGCCUGCGGCUGCGUCGCUCCAGUCUCUGCUGCCUCGUCACAUUGCCCCUCUGCUGCGUGUCUCCGGGCCUUUUCUCUUCUCAUAAGGACUCUAGGCCCUGGGCUUAGGGCCCGCCCCAUCGAGCAUGACAUCGCUUCAACCCGUUACAGCCGCAGAACUUAGAUGCCAAUGGGGUCACGGGCUGAGGCUCCAGCGGGACGUGAAGUUAGGGAACACCGUUCAACCCAGUGCAGCAUCCUAACACAUCUUAUCCAGAAGGAGGCAAGAAAAAGGGAAGCUCCAGCUGUGGCUGGUAAAGGACCAGGGUCCCUCCCCUCAGCCAGGAUGGGGUACUUGGUCUUUGUUGAGGUUUGGGCCGUGUCAGAUGCGAUUAUGGAAGGUGGUGUUUUGUCUUGAGCUGUC